UACGGAGGGGGCGAGCGUUACUCGGAAUUAUUGGGCGUAAAGGGCGCGUAGGCGGCCUUGUAAGUCAAAGGUGAAAUCCCUCGGCUCAACUGAGGAACUGCCUUUGAAACUGCAAGGCUUGAGGCCGGGAGGGGGUAGCGGAAUUCCCAAUGUAGCGGUGAAAUGCGUAGAUAUUGGGAGGAACACCAGUGGCGAAGGCGGCUACCUGGACCGGUUCUGACGCUGAGGCGCGAAAGCGUGGGGAGCAAACAGG
rnacentral:rRNA from 1 species